UAAUAUGCAAAUAUUUGGUUCAUUAGUUCACACAGUCACAAUGCCUGACAAGUUGCACCGUCUAUGACUUUUUGUAUUUGCCAGCUGUGUUUUUGGUUUCCCCUCUUAACUUGACAAGUUAUCCAUGAAGCACUCUGUGCAACAUUGUCUUCCACUUAAAAUGGAUGUUACCUAUCAACAUUUCUACUAUUUUCCAUGGAAAAUAUUUCUGCUAUCAAUGUCAUUGCUAUAGAAGGUUUUACCUGCGAGGUAAUUAUUUUUAGUUGAUAUGUGCUGUGGUUCUUAUAUGCUUAUGUUGAACAAGUGAAUAAACAAGUCAAAGAAUUGGCCCUGUACUUUCUCUAUUUCCUCCUAUGUCUUCUUUCUAAGAAAAGCAGAGUUG
rnacentral:lncRNA from 1 species